GUCCAUGAGGCUGCGGAUGGCUCAUUAGUACAGUUAUUAACCUACGCGUCAGAUACACGCCUUUCAUCGAGGUGUGCCAUGGACAACUGCCGUAACUCGGGAGCUAAUACAUAUCGUUCCGGCUCAUACGUUUUGCAUAAAAACGAGCCGCGUUCGUUUAGUACAAGCCCCUGUAAAAGCAUGAACCUGGCCGGCCUUCGGGCCGGCCAGUAGUGAUUGUGGCGAACGCAGUUGAUCGCAUGUGCCCUUCGUUGGCUCGGCGCGUCUUGAGCUCGGGUUUCUGCCCUAUCAGCUCGACGCAUAGGUAUUGCCUAUGCAGGGCCGUAACGGGUACGGGGAAUCAGGGUUCGAUUCCGGAGAGGGAGCCUGAGAAAUAGCUACCACCCCUAAGGGGGGCAGCAGGCGCGAAAAUUACCCAAUGCUAACACAGCGAGGUAGUCACGAGAAAUACCGAUACUGCCGUCGUCAAGACGGCGGUAAUUGGCAUGUGAACAGUCUAAACCGCUUAACUAGGAUCAAUUAGAGGACAAGUCUGGUGCCAGCACCCGCGGUAAUUCCAGCUCUAAUAACGUCGCCCUAAUUUGCUGCAGUUAAAACGCUCGUAGUCGGCGCCCAGUCUGCCGUGUUUAAUAAUGGUACCCAGCUAGAGCCCCCUUCGACCCCCGCAGCCCGGACUCGUUCCGGACCGCGACGGGAAGAUCGCCGGGCCGCUGGCGUGCCGACAUGGCAGGCGUGUUACUUUUGUAUGAACUUGCACCGGCGUCGGUCCUUGCGACCGGCACCGGUCUGAGCGUACUGUUUUACCGUAAGGAAAAUAGAGCGCUCGAGGCAGGCUAGAAUACCGGUACUCCCGGUAGCUAACCACGUGCCGCCCUUAAAAGCGGCACGGAGUGCAUACACUAGUACGGGACAACUCAAUAGGCCUCACCUCCCGGGGGCUUGUUGGGCUAUGACUCGUGCGGCCAAGGUCCACCCCGGUCAUCCGGGAUGGGCCUCGCACGGGGGGCAAUACGCAAUAGGGGCGGUUGGGGGCAUACGUAUUAUCGGGCUAGAGGUGAAAUUCUUGGACCCCGAUAAGACGACCGGAUGCGAAAGCGUUUGUCAAAAACGUUUUCAUUGAUAAAGAACGAAAGUUUAGGGAGCGAAGAUGAUCAGAUACCGUCGUAGUCUAGACUGUAAAAGCUACCGACGGGUUAUUGGCACGCGUCCAAUAUACGACCCCGCCAGCAACUUUCACUAUGUCUAAAAUGGAAACUAGAGUGAUGGGUUCUGGGGGGAGUAUGGUCGCAAGACUGAAACUUAAAGGAAUUGACGGAAAAAUACACCAGGAGUGGAGCUUGCGGUUUAAUUUGACCCAACACGGGAAAACUUACGAGGUCAGGAUAAACAAUGGAUUGACAGACCAAAUGAUCUUUCUUGAUCGUUUAAGUGGUGGUGCAUGGCCGUUCUUAGUUGGUGGAGUGAUUUGUCUACUUAAUUGUGCUAACGAACGAGACCUUGCCCUGCUAACUAGCAACGGGGUUAAACUAUAUUAAGCAUAAAGGACCGCACCGGCGCUGCCGGGCCGAGACAGGCCGCCAAGGCCCCCCGCUCUCACGGGCGGGGGGUACAUCGGUCUGGCUACGGCCCUAUAAUCUAUACAGGCGGCGUCCCCCGGGUCUUGAAACAAAGGGGGUACCGGUGGAACCCCGUCGGUCGGGCCGUAACACGGUCCGGCUGGCGGGGCUCUGCUCCGAUAUAACGCGAUAAUGGUUUUAAUGGGUUUAAAGCCUUGCUUCUUAGAGGGACUACCGGCCGCCAACCGGUGGAAGAUCAAGGCAAUAACAGGUCUGUGAUGCCCUUCGAUGUUCUCGGCCACACGCACGCUACACUGAACAUUCUAGAGAGUCCAAGCUGCGACGGGGACCCGCUAAUAUCAAAAUUACCGGCCCCGGAGCGGUGGAGGCAAGGCCGAGAGGCUGAGGUAAUCUGGAACGGUGUUCGUGCUAGGGAUAAUCGAUUGCAAUUAUCCGAUUUGAACGAGGAAUUCCUAGUAAGUACGGUUCAUCACACCGUGCUGACUACGUCCCUAUUUUUUGUACACACCGCCCGUCGCUCCUACCGAUCGAACACUGGGGUGAAGCCGGUCGGGUCGCCUCGCUCUGCGGGCCCUGCUUGAAAAGGCUAGGGCGGCAGGGCGGCUGGGCGGCUUUGGCCGGUUCAGCCCCCGGGUUUAGAGGAAGGAGAAGUCGUAACAAGGUAUUCGUAGGUGAACCUGCAAAAGGAUCA
rnacentral:rRNA from 1 species